GUGGCUUAUUGUUUUAGUGGUCCAGCUGCUUCCACACGAACCUGGUAACCUGUGGACUUUUGUUUGGACUUGCUGGUUUUGCCUGAAAGCUGAAGCUGUCAUCUGCUUCUUUGAUGCUAACUUAUUACGGACCGUAACCCUCCCAAAUAAGAGCCCCCAUGCCUUGGGUUUCACCCCUGUAAGGUCUCCUCGUUCACCGCGUCGCACUCGUUUCUGCUGAUCUGACAGAGGCUUACCUGAGGGGACGUGCAGGACUUCUGCCGACACUAAACGGAUCACGGAAGCAGCUCGCUACACGCCUCGCUGAUGAAGACAUCACCACAUAGCUAUGCAAAGGGAGAGAUGAAACCUCACCGCAGGCACCGUCAUGUUUUAAAGAGCUGUUUUAACUAUUACAACAGUGAACUGAAGAGACACUCGCAUUUAACUCUUCUCGGACUCUGAAUGAGAACAUCUGUAGACUCAAAACUUCAGUUUGUGGUCCAAGUGAAUCAUCACCAUCUGUGGAAAGUGCUGCACCAAGUCAUGGCUCAGGAACCCCUCUGUGACUGUGUGUGUGUGUGUGUGUGUGUGUGUGCGUGUGUGUGUGCAUAGUGCGUGUAAGAGCGAGGUGUACCAGUACUCUAGAGGGCAGCAUGAGACCAUGUAGGAUGAGUAGCACCUCUAAGACUUCUUAAAUGGGGGGGGGGGGUCUAUGAUCUUUGAUAGAUCCAUAGAAAGUAUUAAGAACAACGUGAGGGACAAAUACUCGCACCUGCUUGAAGAUCUGCAGGGGCCAAUCAUAUUCCAGGAGUGGAUUGAUGUUUGCUGAAGUACUUGUGAGAAAUUAUUGAUAAAUAAAUAGACAUUAAUUAAAUGCAUGUGACAGAAGAGAAGCCUAAUCACAGCUGAGCCGUGUGAAUAUUGCCUGAGACAAAAACAAACGAUCGACCCCAAAAAAGGUCAAAUGAUUGUGAAUGACGCUCGAUGCUUGUUAUGAAUUGAAAUCACUUAUAAUUGACGACUAAUAGUUCACUUCAGUUUUUUGAUUUACAACUUUUACUGUCAGCAGAGCAUAUAUUACAACAGCAGUUUAUACAGCAUGUGUCAGAUCAAUCCAUAGAUCACAUGUGAUAAAUAGGCCCACAUUCCAUGUUAGUCCAUGAAAAUCACCUUCACACAGUUUUACAGCAUGUUGAUAACAGGAGCUGAACUCUAUUACAGGAUUGUCCGCUGUCAUCACAGUCCCAGAGUAGACUGAGGAGGGCUGGAAACCCGACUCUGCUGUUUGUGAGUCCAGGGACGAACAAGCAGGAUUAGUCUCGGAAUGAUAAGGCCUCCGAACAUUGUGAACCCGUGCAAACACUCUUUGAGUCUCUAUCCCCUGCCGACAACAUGCUAUGUUUUAACAUUAUGUUCCUACGCUGUGCCAUAUAUCACUAUAUCAAAGAGGCAUUGGGUGAAUCAACACACGGUCAGUUAAGGGGCCACAUGAAGCUAAUGGCACAUGAACAUAUGCUUGUUGGAAGCCACUGGACGGCUAUUGUUUAGAGUUUUUAAAAUAAAUCAUAUUUGAAACAUA